GUGAGUCAUCGAAUCUUUGAACGCAUAUUGCGCUCUUUGGUAUUCCGAAGAGCAUGCUUGUUUGAGUAUCAGUAAACACCUCAAAGCUUUUGGAUUUUUUAAUCGAAAAGCUUUGGACUUGAGCAAUCCCAACACCAAUCUUUUUGAGAUCGGUGGCGGGUUGCUUGAAAUGCAGGUGCAGCUGGACAUUCUCCUGAGCUAAAAGCAUAUCUAUUUAGUCCUCGUCAAACAGGAUUAUUACUUUUGCUGCAGCUAACAUAAAGGAUAAUUGUCCUCUUUGCUGACUGAUGCAGGAUUUUA
rnacentral:misc_RNA from 1 species